rnacentral:rRNA from 1 species
AGAGUUUGAUCAUGGCUCAGGACGAACGCUGGCGGCGUGCUUAACACAUGCAAGUCGAACGGAGCACCCUUGACUGAGGUUUCGGCCAAAUGAUAGGAAUGCUUAGUGGCGGACUGGUGAGUAACGCGUGAGGAACCUGCCUUCCAGAGGGGGACAACAGUUGGAAACGACUGCUAAUACCGCAUGAUAUAUUUGAGGGGCAUCCCUUGGAUAUCAAAGAUUUAUCGCUGGAAGAUGGCCUCGCGUCUGAUUAGCUAGUAGGCGGGGUAACGGCCCACCUAGGCGACGAUCAGUAGCCGG